CAAUGCAAUAGAGGUUGCGGUAAUUACGAAACUAAUCUGAGUGAACGAACACAAUGAAGAUUAGUGUAAGAGUUAUCGCCGAAACAAAAGUGCUAUUCGCUUUAACACUUUUGUUGGGCUGCAGGAGAAGAUCUUGCAGACUGUCCUAGUUAAUACUGGGGAGCGCUAUAUGAUUU
rnacentral:ncRNA from 1 species